rnacentral:rRNA from 1 species
UACGAGGGGGGCAAGCGUUGUUCGGAAUUAUUGGGCGUAAAGGGUGCGUAGGCGGUGCGGUAAGUCUGUUGUGAAAUCUCCGGGCUCAACUCGGAGUCUGCAUCAGAAACUGCCGUGCUGGAGUGUGGGAGAGGUGAGUGGAAUUCCCGGUGUAGCGGUGAAAUGCGUAGAGAUCGGGAGGAACACCUGCGGCGAAAGCGGCUCACUGGACCACAACUGACGCUGAGGCACGAAAGCUAGGGGAGCAAACAGG